rnacentral:rRNA from 1 species
AGUGGGGAAUAUUGGACAAUGGGCGCAAGCCUGAUCCAGCCACGCCGCGUGAGUGAUGAAGGCCUUCGGGUCGUAAAGCUCUGUGGGGAGGGACGAACCGCCUUUGGUGCAUAGCCAAGGGCAUGACGGUACCUCCUUAGCAAGCACCGGCUAACUUCGUGCCAGCAGCCGCGGUAAUACGAAGGGUGCAAACGUUGCUCGGAAUCAUUGGGCGUAAAGCGCACGUAGGCGGCUAUUCAAGUCGGAUGUGAAAUCCCUCGGCUCAACCAAGGAAGUGCAUCCGAAACUGGGUAGCUUGAGUACCAAAGAGGAACGCGGAAUUCCCGGUGUAGAGGUGAAAUUCGUAGAUAUCGGGAGGAACACCAGUGGCGAAGGCGGCGUUCUGGGUGGAUACUGACGCUGAGGUGCGAAAGCGUGGGGAGCAAA